AUUAGGUAUGUUAGAUUAAAUUUUGUAUGGAAAUAUGGAAUAAUUAAUUCAUCUUCAUAUAAUACCUACGAAUGGAUACGUCUUCAUAUUGCUGUUCGACGUUAACGAAGCAGUUAACCAUUUUGUCACAUAUGUCAAUCACAGCCAUCGAAAUUAAAUAUCAGAAACUAACAUUAUUAUGAAACAAAUUACAGUUCGUUAAGCAAUGGAUUUCUUCACGCUUCUGAUUUAAGAACAAACAAAUUAUACACAAUGCAAUUAAAAACAAAGUGAACAAAAUGAAACAACUAGCAAUGACAAUAAUGUAGGUAGUGUAAAUGUAUUCAAAGAGCGAGUCAUUUAACUACCCUAAUCUAUAUACUGUUUUGUAUUGAUAGAUGGAAAGAAGAUAAGUGGAUUCUAGUAAUCCAAAUAUAACUACUAAAUGGUUAAAUAAUCCAUCACCAAAAUGAAUUAUAAAAUUUCACAAAGCAUUUAUACUGGUGAAACAGGAGUAUAUGUACAAUUUAAGACAAUCUAAACAAUUAAAAAUAGUACCAACAUUGAUGUAGCAGUAAAAACAUGCCAUUUGAUUGAGAAUUUGACGAACUUAAUCAUCAUACAUGAGAAUUUGAAACAUCUAAUUCGACCAAGUAAAUCACCCAAACAACAGUCAAAGCCAUAUUUUGGUAGAAAACUUAAAAGGAAUCUUUUGGCCAAAUCAUUUCAGCCCACCACAAAUAGACUUUUUCUAACAAUUCAAUAUUCGGUCUGCUCAACAGCUGAAUACCCCUGUUUGGCCAAACAGAAGUACUACAACGUCUACAACUGACAAAUUAAAAAUCGGCUUCUAGUCUACCACAUUUUAGAAUGGAAUAAUUUGGCUACAACUAUCUGGAAAUGAUUGCAAAGACCAACAGGGCCAUUACUUUGGAACACUCACAGUCACAAAUUGACCUAAGUGGCUUUACUACUUUUUUUUUUAUUAUUUAACAUUUUAUUUUCAAUCUACACAAUACAAUUAGUUCCACUACUUAAAACUGCAAUCAUGCCAAUAGUUCUUUAAUAAAUGCAGUUAUACCGGAAUUUAAUUCAUUGAUACAAUAUUUAUGACUUCAUAGCUUAAGUUAACAACAGUUUCAUUAAAAAAGUUGCACAGAAAUGAGAUUUGUCUAUCAAAAAAUGUGUUGAGGAAUCAAAUAUUGAACAACUUAUUAUUGGCUUUGGAUUUGAAAGUUGCUCCAAAUGAAUUGUGUGAACUGUGAAUAUUAAGCCUAUAGAAUUCAUAGAAACUUUAACUAAGGUUUUCAUUAUUAUUCAGUUGAAAUUUCAUAUAACAUACACAUUUAUUAGGGUUAUUAUUUUUGUUUG